GACGAACGCUGGCGGCGUGCUUAACACAUGCAAGUCGAGCGGUAAGGCCCUUUCGGGGGUACACGAGCGGCGAACGGGUGAGUAACACGUGGGUGACCUGCCUCUAGCUCUGGGAUAAGCCUGGGAAGCUGGGUCUAAUACCGGAUAUGACCUCGCGGUGCAUGUUGCGGGGUGGAAAGCCUUGUGCGGCUAGGGAUGGGCCCGCGGCCUAUCAGCUUGUUGGUGGGGUGANGGCCUACCAAGGCGACGACGGGUAGCCGGCCUGAGAGGGCGACCGGCCACACUGGGACUGAGACACGGCCCAGACUCCUACGGGAGGCAGCAGUGGGGAAUCUUGCGCAAUGGGCGAAAGCCUGACGCAGCGACGCCGCGUGAGGGAUGACGGCCUCGGUUGUAACG
rnacentral:rRNA from 1 species